rnacentral:lncRNA from 1 species
AUGGGGUUGGGUCUUUCCUGUGCUGUGCUUGUGAUAGUAAGUCUCGCGAGAUCUGAUGGUUUUAUAAAGGGGGGUUCCCCCUACACAAGCUCUCUUGCCUGCCUUCAUGUAAGACGGGACUUUGCUCCUUCUUUGCCUUCCACUGUCAUUGUGAGGCCGCCCCAGCCAUGUGAAACUGUUGCUUCCAAGUCUUGGCUGUCGUGGAUACUGCUGCAGAAAUCAUGGGAGUGCAAAUAUCUCUGGCAUACUGAUUUCCAGUCUUUUGGGUGAAUACCAAGCAAGUGGAAUACUGGAUCAUAAGGUAGUUCUAUUUUUAGUUUUUCAAGGAAUGUCCAAAUUGUUCUCCAGAGUUGUACCAACUUACAUUCCCAUCAACAGUAUAUGAGGGUUCCCUUUUUUCCAUGUCUUCGUCAGCAUUUAUUAUUGCCUGACUUUUGGAUAAAAGCCAUUUUAGCUGUAUUAAGAUGAUAUCUCAUUGUAGUUUUUAUUUGUAUUUCUGGGAUAACUAAUGAUGCUGAGCACCUUUUCAUAUCAUGUUUAUCAUGUUAUGUCUUCUUUUGAAAAAUGUCUAUUCAGAUCUUUCACCCAUUUGUUAAUUGGAUUAUUUGAUUUUUUUCCUUUAGAGUUAUUUUUCUCCUUACAUACUCUGUAAGGAGUACUCCUUACAUCCCCAUCACAGAUGGGUGGUUCGCAAAUAUUUUCUCCCACUCUAUAGAUUGUCUCUUCACUUGGUUGACUGUUUAUUUUGCUGUGCAGAAGCUUUUUAACUUGAUGUGAUUCUAUUUGUUCAUUUUUUGCUUUGGUUGCCUGUAUUUACUGGGUAUUACUCAAAAGACCUUUGUCUAGUCCAAUGUCCUAAAGAGUUUCCCCAAUGGUUUAUUUUAGUAGUUUUAUAUUUGAUGUAUUAGAUUUAAGUCUUUAAAACAUUUUUACUUGAUUUUUGUAUAUGGUAAGAGGUAUGGGUCUAGUUCCAUUCUUCUACAUAUGGAUAUUGGAUUUCCAUAGCACUAUUUAAUUCUGUCAUAUGUGGCUUUUAUGGUAUUGAGGUAUGUUCCUUCUAUAUCCAGUUCUUUUGAGGGUUUUUAUUAUAAAAUGGUGUUGAAUUUUAUCAAAUACUUUUUAGCAUCAGUUGAAAUGAUCAUACAGUUUUUGUCCUUCAUGCUGUUGAUAUGAUGUAUAAUAUUGAUUGAUUUGCGUAUGUUGAACCAUGCUUGCAUCCCUAGGACAAAUUUCUCUUAGUCAUGAUAAAUGAUCUUUUUAAAGUGUUAUUGAAUUCAGUUUGGUAUUUUGUUGAGGAUUUUUGCAACAAUGUUCAUCAUGAACCUGGGCCUGUUGUUUCCUGUUUCAGAUGUGUCUUUGUUUAAUUUUGGUAUCAGAGUAAUGUUGUUUUCACAUAAUGAGUUUGAAAGUAUUUCCUCCUCCUCUAUAUUUCAAAAUAGUUUGAGUAGGGUUGGUAUUAAUUCUUUA